rnacentral:lncRNA from 1 species
CUCCUCCGUCUGCUCCAGCCGGGUAAGAUGUUUCUGUGGCUUCCUCCCCCAGGACUGGAGAGCGAACCUGUUUGUCAGGUAGAACAGAGGGGCUGCGGCAAGGACGUAGCUCGUGCCCGGUCACGUAGGAAGGACGCCAGCCUGCCAGACCCCAGAAUCUGUCACUCUGCACCGCCCGCCUGGCUGCCUCCUGCCUUUCACCCUGAAAGUCAAAGUCACCCCGUCUCCAGCUUAGAGAGAGAAGAAGGCACAGGCAUCUCUGUGGCGGGACGUGGUGGGCAGCAUGCGCAUCGCUGGAAGGGGGUCCACGGGCUCCUUGGCCACCACACAUCCCUCCCAGGCCUCAGAUGCUCCUCACGCAAUGGGAAUCAGUCGGCCCCAGGCGGGGGCGUGGCCAGGGCUGGGCCGGGCUGGUUCUAUCGCGUUCGUCCCCUCUCCCACCACCUCUCUGCUGGCUUUCCCAUCUUGACACAACCGAGUGCCCGCGUCACCCCAGCAUUAAUAUUUACAGUCACUUAUGCAUGGAUGGCCCGCACCACCGCCCCCAGUCCUUCCGGGCAUCGGAGUCGCCUGGGUAGUUUGUCCUAGACCAGGAGGCAGGGCCCCUCCACGCCUCUCCCGAACCAGAGCUCCCCGGGGCCAGGGUUGGGGCUGGAGACCUGGAAUCGUUUCCAUUUCCCGGCCGAUUCUUCUACAGCCACUGGGAAGACCCACCCUAGGAUCCGGGAGUCUACACUGCACCAGAAACCGCCGGGGAAGUGACACAGGGAGCCCGCAGGCUCAGGGGUCCGGCACAACACCAGGCUACCCCACUGACUUCCUUGCUGGGCGACUCCAAGCCAGUCACCGCUCUGCGCCUCGGUCCCUCCGCCUUCAAGAGGCGGCCAAGGAGCACCCCCUUGGGAUGCAGCCCUCCUGACUUUCCUCUGCACCCCCUCAUUCCCAUCGCCCCCAACUGGUCUACACCGGAUGUGUCUGCUACCUCAUCCAGUCUCGCUGCACCCCGAGCUGAUGCCUUCCGUCCUCGUGCCCCCUUUCCUGGUUGGCAAAACCGAGCCUUUCGGAGGUGAAACCCGGCAGCGUGACAGCUUUGCUCCCCCCGCUGACCCUGGGCACCCCUGCAAGGAAGAUCCCUGUGCCUCCCCGCCCGCCGCCUCUCCCCCCUUCCUCCCACAAACAGUUGUUCAGGCUCUCUGCCUCUGCCAGGCAUUGUCCUCGGUGCCAGGGAUGCGAACCGCUAAAAGCCCGACGGACAAUACAGGCACCUCACACCCGCUUCCUUUCUCAUCCCGGUUUCUAGAAACCCGUGACCUCAUGACUCCACGGGCCC